rnacentral:tRNA from 1 species
GCUCCCGUAGCACAGUUGGUUAGAGCGUCGUACUUAUAAUGCGAAGGUCGGGGGUUCGAGACCCCCCGGGAGCA